GAUGAACGCUGACAGAAUGCUUAACACAUGCGAGUCUUUGGCGAAGCUGUGCUUGCACCGCCUAGCCAAGGCGGACGGGUGAGUAACGCGUCAGGAACUUGCCCUGCAGUCAGGGAUAACAGACGGAAACGACUGAUAAGACCUGGUAAAGUCAGGCGGACUCAUGUCCAGCCUGAUGAAAAGAGAUGCUGCAGGAGAGCCUUGCGUCCUAUUAGCUUGUUGGUGGGGUAACGGCCCACCAAGGCGAUGAUAGGUAGCCGGCCUGAGAGGGUGGACGGCCACAAGGGGACUGAGAUACGGCCCUUACUCCUACGGGAGGCAGCAGUGGGGAAUAUUGGACAAUGGGGGCAACCCUGAUCCAGCAAUUCUGUGUGCACGAUGAAGGUUUUCGGAGUGUAAAGUGCUUUCAGCAGGGAAGAAAAAAAUGACGGUACCUGCAGAAGAAGCGACGGCUAAAUACGUG
rnacentral:rRNA from 1 species